AAUGAACGCUGGCGGCGUGCCUAACACAUGCAAGUCGUACGAGAAAUUCGACCUUCGGGUUGAAGAGUAAAGUGGCGCACGGGUGAGUAACGCGUAGGUAAUCUACCCUUGGGUCUGGGACAACCCCGCGAAAGCGGGGCUAAUACCGGAUAACAUCCGCCGGAGGAAUCCGGCUGAUCAAAGGGGGCCUCUCCUUGGAAGCUUCCGCCUGGGGAUGAGCCUGCGUCCCAUUAGCUAGUUGGUGGGGUAAUGGCCUACCAAGGCGACGAUGGGUAGCGGGUCUGAGAGGAUGAUCCGCCACACUGGAACUGGAACACGGUCCAGACUCCUACGGGAGGCAGCAGUGAGGAAUAUUGCGCAAUGGGGGAAACCCUGACGCAGCGACGCCGCGUGGGCGAAGAAGGCCUUCGGGUCGUAAAGCCCUGUCAGAGGGGAAGAAAUGCGUCCUGGCUAAUACCCAGGGCGUUUGACGGUACCCUCAGAGGAAGCACCGGCUAACUCCGUGCCAGCAGCCGCGGUAAUACGGAGGGUGCGAGCGUUGUUCGGAAUCACUGGGCGUAAAGCGGGUGUAGGCGGUCUAGCAAGUCAGAUGUGAAAGCCCACGGCUCAACCGUGGAAGUGCAUCUGAAACUGCUAGACUUGAGUGCCGGAGAGGGAAGUGGAAUUCCUGGUGUAGGGGUGAAAUCCGUAGAUAUCAGGAGGAACACCGGUGGCGAAGGCGACUUCCUGGACGGUAACUGACGCUGAGACCCGAAAGCGUGGGGAGCAAACAGGAUUAGAUACCCUGGUAGUCCACGCCCUAAACGAUGGGCACUAGGUGCUGGGGGUAUUACCCCCCCGGUGCCGUAGCUAACGCAUUAAGUGCCCCGCCUGGGGAGUACGGCCGCAAGGUUG
rnacentral:rRNA from 1 species